CUGCUCUCCCAUCUGAAUUUGGACGUCAUGGAGAACUCCCUGCAGAGAGGAAAAGAAACUGGCUGCCUGGACUUCCUUCUUGACUGAAGGAUGACCCCAGCGGCCAAUAACAGGUGGGGAGAGGGAGGAGCUUCCUCCCUAAACUUUGGUUGCCGACAAAGGAGACUGUGGUGUUGCGUUUAAAUGUAAUGCUGGCAGCACAGACAUGGAGGUGAAGGCAGUGCAACUCACUACAAACUAAAGGAGAGAGCCCAUGAGGCAAGGUGAUGUUGGAGGACCAACAGAGAGCUUGGAGAAACAAGUUGCUCCAACAUCAGUCAGAGAGACUCAAUGAAGGGGGGCCUUGCUGCCUCACUUCUCAUUCAGAUGGAGUUGAGAAGAAUAGCCGUUAAGGGAGGAAGUUCUAAGAUUGCAGGAACCAAAUGACAUUUGAUGCCAACUGAGCAGAUAUAGGAAGCCUGCCUGCAUUGCAUGCUCUUUAUCCUCCCUGGGCUUCCUCCACCUCAUGGAAGUCAUCAAGGACUCACUUCUCAGAGGACAUGUGUCUCUGCUACUGCAGUAACGGAACCAUGGUUUUCUGCUCCAAAAAGUCCAGCACUGGGCUAAGUCUGUGGCCCCAUUCACACAUAACGGGAAAUUGGAGUUAAAUGGCGCAGAGGUUGGAUUUCUUGUAUGUCCAAAUGCAUGCAGCCUCUGCCCCAUUGGAAAAGCAACCCGAGGUUUCCCUCCCCAAACUCCAGUUUCAACCCUUGGGAUGUUGUAAGUUUUGCUGCUCCAACCUGAGAUUAGCAGCUGGCUGCUGUACGUCCAAAUGCAGAACUUAAGGCUGGAUUCUCUGAAACCAGAGCUGAGGGAGAAAGCUCCUCCCUCUCUCUGUACCAAUUGGCUGCAGAGGCGUUCUUCCUUCUGGACUUCCAGGCCAAAGUCCAGGGCCUCCACAGCCCCUGGGGCCCCCCAGGUGCACCUCUGAUUGGCUGCUACAGCUGACCUUCAUGUGAAGGAGGAAGCCCGGCAGCCAGUUUCCCUGCCUGCACAGCCAGUUUCCCCUCCUCAAUGCAGUCUCCCUAACAGCAGUUUCGGUCCUGGGUGAUAUGUCUGAAUGUGGACAGGUAAGCACAGUGUGGGGGGCGGGAAUCGCAGGUCCAUUGGACCCUCGGUUCCGCGUUACGUGAAAAUGCGGCCUGUGGCCUCAUUGUCUAGGCCUAGAUGGGGCUUUUCACUGCCAUAUGUUGUGGCACUGUCUGAAGAGAAUCCCCAGAUCUAACUCUGUUUGUAAUUGCAUUAUGCACUUCUUUCAGUAUCUUAAAAACAAACAAACAAACAAACACCCUGCACAGAUGCUUUUGUAAUAUGCAGACAUAUUGAAAUGUAAGCUGAAAGCACAGAAAUCCCACACGUUAUUCUAGUAACCUGUUUCUGAAUCACAACUAGACAGGGGUAAUCAUCUCAGUGUCAUAAUGUUGAUCAUAUGUUCAUUUCUAGAUGCACUCCUUUGAGUAAAAAAGGAGGAAAAUAACUUUGCUAGCUACAGUUUGGAUAGAUAGAUAGAUAUAGUGUGUGUGUGUAUUACGUAUGUGUGUAUGUAUGUAUCUAUUUCUAUAUCUAUAUAAUUACUGAGGAAGAAAUGCAGGUUCUCUUUUGUGAUAAGUGUACAUUGGCAAUCAUUAAAGACUGACCUAAGUGGAGUCAGGAUUGCACCCUGGGAGAAAUCCUACUCUCUCUUAACAGCAAAGCUUAUAAUAAAUUGAAUGGUGUCAGGAUGUGACUUUGAGAUCAAUCUGCUUAGUAGAGUCAGAAUUACUAAUAAUGUGUGAUUUCAACAAGAACUAAUUAGAUUUAAUUGCACUUAAUUAAGAAGCAAAGUAAAUUGUUAUCUUCAAAUGUUGGAAACAAAGUCCCUUGGAAUACAGAGGGCAAAAAGCACAUUUCAUAACCACAGUGUUUUAUCUUUUGUAUUCCUGAUCAUGAAUACAUCACAAUAGUGCUGAGAUUUAGGAUUUCAGAGAUUCACCCAGGCUCAUCCUUAUAAAACUGGAUGCAGUACUCACAUUCCAGUGAUGAGCAAAUUAAAUUAAUAUACACUGCAAUUGU